rnacentral:rRNA from 1 species
CGUACUGAUCCGAGGUCAAAGUGGGGGGGGAUGA